rnacentral:rRNA from 1 species
AACGCGAAGAACCUUACCAAGUCUUGACAUCUGCCUGACCGGCGCGUAACGGUGCUUUUCCUUCGGGACAGGCAAGACAGGUGGUGCAUGGUUGUCGUCAGCUCGUGUCGUGAGAUGUUGGGUUAAGUCCCGCAACGAGCGCAACCCUUAUCCCUAGUAGCCAGCAUGAAAGAUGGGCACUCUAAGGAGACUGCCAGGGACAACCUGGAGGAAGGCGGGGAUGACGUCAAAUCAUCAUGCCCCUUAUGAUUUGGGCUACACACGUGCUACAAUGGCGUAAACAAAGGGAAGCGAGAGGGUGACCUUAAGCAAAUCUCAAAAAUAACGUCUCAGUUCGGAUUGUAGUCUGCAACUCGACUACAUGAAGCUGGAAUCGCUAGUAAUCGCGGAUCAGAAUGCCGCGGUGAAUACGUUCCCGGGUCUUGUACACACCG